UAAGAGAUGGCUGAGUAACAAGCACUGGAGUGAAGUCCCAGGUACGGUAUAUACCUCUCUUUG
rnacentral:tRNA from 1 species